AUUGAACGCUGGCGGCAUGCCUUACACAUGCAAGUCGAACGGCAGCACGGGAGCAAUCCUGGUGGCGAGUGGCGAACGGGUGAGUAAAGUAUCGGAACGUGCCCAGUCGUGGGGGAUAACGUAGCGAAAGUUACGCUAAUACCGCAUACGAUCUAUGGAUGAAAGCGGGGGAUCGCAAGACCUCGCGCGAUUGGAGCGGCCGAUAUCAGAUUAGGUAGUUGGUGGGGUAAAGGCCCACAAAGCCGACGAUCAGUAGCGGGUCUGAGCGGGCGCACAGCCACACUGGGACUGAGACACGGCCCAGACUCCUACGGGAGGCAGCAGUGGGGAAUUUUGGACAAUGGGCGAAAGCCUGAUCCAGCCAUGCCGCGUGCAGGAUGAAGGCCUUCGGGUUGUAAACUGCUUUUGUACGGAACGAAAAGGACUGCCCUAGUACGGUGGUCCCAUGACGGUACCGUAAGAAUAAGCACCGGCUAACUACAUGCCAGCCGCCGCGGUAAAAC
rnacentral:rRNA from 1 species